UACGUAGGGUGCGAGCGUUUGUCCGGAAUUACUGGGCGUAAAGGGCUCGUAGGCGGCCAACUAAGUCAUACGUGAAAUCCCUCAGCUUAACUGGGGAACUGCGUGUGAUACUGGAUGGCUUGGAUUUGGGAGAGGGAUGCGGAAUUCCAGGUGUAGCGGUGAAAUGCGUAGAUAUCUGGAGGAACACCGGUGGCGAAGGCGGCAUCCUGGACCAAUAUUGACGCUGAGGAGCGAAAAGCUAGGGG
rnacentral:rRNA from 1 species